UCCCUGGUGGUCCAGUGGUUAGGACUCUGCGCUCUCACUGCUGAGGGCCCAGGUUCAAUUCCCUGGUUGGGGAA